CCUACGGGGGGCAGCAGUGGGGAAUAUUGGACAAUGGGGGCAACCCUGAUCCAGCCAUGCCGCGUGUGUGAAGAAGGCCCUCGGGUUGUAAAGCACUUUCAGUGAGGAAGAACGCCUGGUGGUUAAUACCCAUCAGGAAAGACAUCACUCACAGAAGAAGCACCGGCUAACUCCGUGCCAGCAGCCGCGGUAAUACGGAGGGUGCGAGCGUUAAUCGGAAUUACUGGGCGUAAAGCGCGCGUAGGUGGCUUGAUAAGCCGGUUGUGAAAGCCCCGGGCUCAACCUGGGAACGGCAUCCGGAACUGUCAAGCUAGAGUGUAGGAGAGGAAGGUAGAAUUCCCGGUGUAGCGGUGAAACGCGUAGAGAUCGGGAGGAAUACCAGUGGCGAAGGCGGCCUUCUGGACUGACACUGACACUGAGGUGCGAAAGCGUGGGUAGCAAACAGGAUUAGAUACCCUAGUAGUC
rnacentral:rRNA from 1 species